rnacentral:rRNA from 1 species
AGAGUUUGAUCAUGGCUCAGAACGAACGCUGGCGGCGUGCUUAACACAUGCAAGUCGAGUGCGCGUUCCGUAGCAAUACGGAAUGGCGCACGGCGCACGGGUGCGUAACACGUGGGUAACCUGCCCUUUGGUGGGGAAUAACUCCGCGAAAGCGGAGCUAAUUCCGCAUAAGAUCCGCAAGGAUGAAAGCCGAAAGGCGCCGAUGGAGGGGCCCGCGCCCGAUUAGCUAGUUGGUAGGGUAAUGGCCUACCAAGGCUUUGAUCGGUAGCUGGUCUGAGAGGAUGAUCAGCCACACUGGAACUGAGACACGGUCCAGACUCCUACGGGAGGCAGCAGUGGGGAAUCUUGCACAAUGGGCGAAAGCCUGAUGCAGCGACGCCGCGUGGGGGAUGAAGCAUUUCGGUGUGUAAACCCCUUUCGAUCCGGACGAAACCCCGCAAGGGAUUGACGGUACGGAUUAAGAAGCCCCGGCUAACUACGUGCCAGCAGCCGCGGUAAGACGUAGGGGGCCAGCGUUGUUCGGAAUUACUGGGUGUAAAGGGUUCGUAGGCGGUGCGGCAAGUUGGGAGUGAAAUCUCUGGGCUUAACCCAGAGGCUGCUUCCAAAACUGCUGUGCUUGAGUGUGGGAGAGGCGCGUGGAAUUGCAGGUGUAGCGGUGAAAUGCGUAGAUAUCUGCAGGAACACCCGUGGCGAAAGCGGCGCGCUGGACCACUACUGACGCUGAGGAACGAAAGCUAGGGGAGCAAACAGGAUUAGAUACCCUAGUAGUCC